CUGAGAGAAGCCGGAGAAUCUGGGCGAAGAUGCUGCUGCAGGAGAGGUCCAGACUCCACCAUCUCCCAGAGGUGGUUCUGCUGUCCCAUCAAGACCCUUACUGGGUUCGUGUGUAAACAUAGGUGUUCGAGUCUGGAGUUCUGGAGUACCAGCAGACAAGGCCCGUUUCUCCACUGACUCUUAGUAGGCUGGAGAGUGAUAUCAGUAAGACCACCAAGGCCACUUGCAGCAGCAAGAGGAAAGUGUGGAACAGCACUAGUCAUAAGGUGAGAAGAAUCCGUUAACAGGUGUGCCUGGAGAAGUCACUGGCCAUCCGUGAUCACUUUGGCCUCCAUGUCCUCUCUUCUCUGCAGUGGCCAGGGCUGGGACUGACAGUUUUAUCCUUCUGAGCUCAUGGUUGACUCCCUGGCAACCAGCCCCUAUUUUGAGGCCAUCCUAGAGCACCAGACAUCAUUCAUUAGCAAAGCAGAAGACACUCAGACAUUCCAAGAGUUUGAAGAGCUAAAUGUCAGCAAACAGGGUACAGGAAUAAACUGUCUUAUUUAUGUUUGUAACCCCUAUCAUGGAUGGGAAAACAAAGACUCAGGGCAGAGGAGUCCCUUGGCCCAAGUCCUCACCGUGAACAAAAGUCUGCUGAUGUGAAGUCCCACACAGCUCUGCAGAAGCAUGUAUCCUUGGCUGGCAGCAUCUCAUCUAUCAUUUGUAGAUUUGUGGAAUGGAUAUUCCUUGCCAGAAUCCUGGCUGGAUUCAGAACUUCUCUCACCCAUUCCCUGACUAACAAACAAAAGAGAAACUACGAGAAUGCUUCUAACACAAGCAGGUAGAUGGUGGAGUCUUCCAACCAGCAUAUCCAACAAAAAAGAGCCACCAACACUCCGCAAGAGCUCACUGGAGGCUAGGCUUCAUAGGUCACUAAUCCUGUACGUGGACCAGACUUCGUAGGUGCCUCGGAACCUCUCUAUUGCAAACGAGUACUAGCUGACUUUCAGAAAGUGCCCAUAGGCUCAUUGUGCUGUGAGCCAGUGUGGACUUGACAGUGAAUGAGCCUACUUAAGAACAAGCAGGUGACAGAGCACCUUCACAAACAUCGUCGUCGCCUGAAAAGGUGGAAAACAGAAGAAAACAAAACAAACAAACAAGCUUCAGAGACGUUGGGCAUCCUCCCUGCCGACAUCUCGUGUCUGCUGAUUCCAAAUCCCGUGUCCUCCCACUGAACCUUGCUGCUGGUGGUUCCCAGCCAGGGCUGAAAGAAAACAUGAGCUCUGGGAGGUGUUUCUGUGGACAC